rnacentral:rRNA from 1 species
CGGAUCUGGCUCAGGAUGAACGCUAGCGGCAGGCUUAACACAUGCAAGUCGAGGGGCAUCGGGAGUAGCAAUACUGCCGGCGACCGGCGCAAGGGUGCGUAACGCGUGAGCAACAUGCCCGUAUCAGGGGGGAUAAUCCAUGGAAACGUGGUCUAAUACCCCAUAGUAAUUAUGUAAGGCAUCUUAUAUAAUUUAAAGCUUUGGUGGAUACGGAUUGGCUCGCGUGACAUUAGCUAGAUGGUAAGGUAACGGCUUACCAUGGCUACGAUGUCUAGGGGUUCUGAGAGGAAGGUCCCCCCACACUGGAACUGAGACACGGUCCAGACUCCUACGGGAGGCAGCAGUGAGGAAUAUUGGACAAUGGAUGGAAAUCUGAUCCAGCCAUGCCGCGUGCAAGGAAGACGGCCCUAUGGGUUGUAAACUGCUUUUGUAUGGGAGCAAUAAGGGCUACGCGUAGUCCGAUGAGAGUACCAUACGAAUAAGCACCGGCUAACUCCGUGCCAGCCGCUGC